UAGGGAAUCUUCCGCAAUGGGCGAAAGCCUGACGGAGCAACGCCGCGUGAGUGAUGAAGGUCUUCGGAUCGUAAAACUCUGUUAUUAGGGAAGAACAAAUGUGUAAGUAACUAUGCACGUCUUGACGGUACCUAAUCAGAAAGCCACGGCUAACUACGUGCCAGCAGCCGCGGUAAUACGUAGGUGGCAAGCGUUAUCCGGAAUUAUUGGGCGUAAAGCGCGCGUAGGCGGUUUUUUAAGUCUGAUGUGAAAGCCCACGGCUCAACCGUGGAGGGUCAUUGGAAACUGGAAAACUUGAGUGCAGAAGAGGAAAGUGGAAUUCCAUGUGUAGCGGUGAAAUGCGCAGAGAUAUGGAGGAACACCAGUGGCGAAGGCGACUUUCUGGUCUGUAACUGACGCUGCUGUGCGAAAGCGUGGGGAUCAAACAGG
rnacentral:rRNA from 1 species